CAGUCGCCGCGGUAAAACGGAGGAUCCAAGCGUUAUCCGGAAUCAUUGGGUUUAAAGGGUCCGUAGGCGGUCUUGUAAGUCAGUGGUGAAAGCCCAUCGCUCAACGGUGGAACGGCCAUUGAUACUGCAGGACUUGAAUUAUUGGGAAGUAACUAGAAUAUGUAGUGUAGCGGUGAAAUGCUUAGAGAUUACAUGGAAUACCAAUUGCGAAGGCAGGUUACUACCAAUUGAUUGACGCUGAUGGACGAAAGCGUGGGUAGCGAACAGGAUUAGAUACCCCUGUAGUCCCUGUCUCUUAUAU
rnacentral:rRNA from 1 species